rnacentral:rRNA from 1 species
AUGACCCGGGAGGAGAAGGUAGAUCCGGUGAAAGCAAAGCGCACUCUGGCUGCCCUGACAAAACCACCAAAGUCUCCGCCGAGAGGCAACUAUGAGCGCAUUCUUGCAAAGACAUAUGCCGAAGCGGAGCGAUCGGGAAGUACUGUCAGUGAUCGAAGGUUAAAAGAACGACGAGCUGGGAAAAAAAUUGCCCAGCUCGGCGAACAAGCGAACCAAUCGUGCCCCCCGCUCAAGGUGUCAAAAGACAUCGUCGCUAAUGAUCCGUGUAUGGUGCCCAGUUAUAGCAAUCUUGGAGAUUACCUGCCCGACGAUGUACAUUAUGAAAUCAUGGAGGUGGACGAACACAAAUACCAUUACGGGAAGCCUCUCGUCAAAGAUGAAAGAUCUCUAACAACGAUGAUGCGAAGACUACAUGAUUGGUACACGAAAACCUGCAGAGAGUCUGAUGGGAUGGAUACUUUGAUGCUGAGAGUUAAAUCGGAGCAUGACGUCGUUGGAAUUGAUCUGCUGAAUGUUCCAUUUGAGGAUUUCUUCCAGUUUUACAAUCAAAAGGCCCUUGAUAAAACAACGAUCACUUGCUACUGUCUAUUAAAGAUCGCCGAAUUGAAGAAAAGACAAAUCGGUGAUAUUGGGUUCAUUAACACAAAUCUCAUAGAUGCAUAUACGGUUGAAAAAUAUCCCAAAGAAGCCGAGGUCAACUUGCUACAAUCGUUGGUAUUAAAUCAAAACAAAGAUAUAAUAUUCUUUCCUUACAACUUCAACUUCCACUAUAUUCUCCUAGAGAUUAAGCUUGAGCAGGGAGUAGUAACCGUCUUAGACUCGAGACGAAAUGAUCCCCAGGACUAUGCGAACAUGACUCAAAUGCUCGAGAAGGUUUAG